AAUACUUACAAUACGAUUGGCCAAAUGUGCCACUGUAGAUUGCAUAUUUGGGUUUUCCCUACUCCUGUUCACCGUUCCAAAUUUCCUUCCGUGCCGAUUCCCUUUUUCUCGUUUGUCUACUCCUGUUCACCGUUCCAAAUUCCCUUCCAUGCCGAUUCCCUUUUUCUCGUUUGUUCUGUUGCGUGGGGGUUUCGUGUAGUGGGAAGCUUUGUUUCUUGCAUUGUUACUUUCCCAAAAUUUAUCAUUCCUUUUCCUGUUUUGUUUUGAUACAUUUAAUGCCUUUUCGAUUUCCUUUUUGAUCUCCUUUUCAAUUUCCUUUGUCUUCUUUCGCGUUCAAUUUGCUACAUGGAUGGGUUUGGGUAAGCUUUUCGCCCACUUGCUUGUUUUACGUUCGUCUGGAUUCAGCGGAAAGGUAUUUGUCGGAAUACUUUCCAUUUUGUGUCGGAUGCAGGCUGAAAGGGAUUUGGCAGAAGGUUUGCUUUUGUGCUUGAUUUGUCUCGUUUCCAAUUUGUUUUGCCCAUAUGUAUCGGUUUUGAUUUCUUUCUCCUUCAUUCCGUCUCGCUCUCUCUUUUGUGGUGGUUGUUCUUUUUCGUUUUUGUAUUCUCUCAAAUGGCUGGUAGGUUUGAUUUCUUCAUUAAUCUAAAUCCCAAUUGAAUAUUGAUUGUUUUUCCCCUGUUUCAUUCUACAGGUUCUUGCCAGAUUUGUUUCAUUGGUUUGUUAUGACCUGAUUUGUUCUUCAUAUUUAUUUUAUUUCUAAUUUUUACAGUUUUAUUGUGUGUUCAUUACUCUCAUAUUUCUUCAUGUUUGCCCUGUUUUUGCAGAGGAGUUUAUGUCCGACCUAUUUGUGCAUACAAGAUUAACUUUCGUUUCAGACUGCAGUUAACAGUAUGUUUCUUAAUCAUGUUUUCAUUUUGUUCAUAGUAUUCAUAUUUGUGGAAUAUUUAUUUACUUUCAUACAUCUUUUGCAUGACUUGUUUGUGCAGUUGAUUCAAAUUUGUUCUUUCUGUAGCCUUUCUAUUUUGUGUUAGUUGGUUUGUGUUUCUUUUUUUAUUUUUUCCAGUGACGAUCGAGUUGUGCUUUUGCCUCCGAUGAACGGUUGUGGCAGCGACGAGUCUCUUCCUUCCGGCGACAGCCGAUUGUGUAUGUGAGUGGAUAAACUGAUAAUUUACUUUCUGAAUUUGUUUAUAAAAAAUCAAGUUUUUGACCCUUGAAUGUUUUAUUUAUUUGUCACCGGUUGGGCUAAAAAUCAACCAAAAUAGUAGGCUGAAUGGUUUCUUGCUAUCUUAUUUUUUUAGUGUGGUAUGUGAGUGGAUAAACUGAUAAUUUUCUUUCUGAAUUUGUUUAUAAAAAAUCAAGUUUUUGACCUUUGAAUGUUUUAUUUAUUUGUCACCAGUUGGGCUAAAAUCAAGUUUCUUUGCAUUGCUUGAGUAGAUUUAUUUGUCACCAUGUUGACUGAACGGGCUAAAAGUAAGGAAAACUCAGUUGUGUGUUCCCCUUCCAGGGAAGCUUACAAGAAUUUACUUGCAAAAUCCUUAAAUAUGAAGAUUGAUGCAAGUUCUUGUCCUGGCUCUUAAGAAAAUAAAACUACCACUGCCAGAAUGAACAACUUUAAAGAAUAUUGCACACACUAAUCAACUGAGGAACUAUCUGACUCUAAUGGUAUUGAUAAUCUAAUGGACAAAAGAUCCCUUGGUUAUGCAUAUAGGAGUCGAGAAGGAGAUGUCGAACGGACUCUAAAGACGGUCGAAACAGGAGUAGGUGGCAGGCAACCACACUGCUAAAAAGUACCACUUGAAUCAUCACUAUCGGGUCCAGAUCCUUGGCUUUGGCAUCACGUCACCAUUCUGGGAUAAGGUUUUUGGAACGGUUCCCCCUCCAUCAAAGGUGGAUGCCAAGCGUAGAAGUAACGGUUGAGCCUGCAUUUGUUCAUUGGUUAAUUAUAGCGGAUUGAGGAGUUUAGACAAAAAAAAGGUAAACUCUUUGUGCACAUUCCUCUCUCUUCUAACUUAGGAAGGAACAUUGACUACACAGUUGAUGGCAAUUAGGAAGAAGGCAGAAGGAACAUUGACUACACAGUUGAUGGCAAUUAGCAAGAAGGCAGCCGCUACUGCUAAUUGUUGAGCUUAAACAAGCAGCAUACCUAUGUGAUGGGAAUUCGUUGAUAGUAUGAAAGGAAACACAAAAUUGUAUGUUUGAAUUGGUGACGAGUUUGGAUAAAUUACAGUGACACUGCGGUUUCAUUUAAACUUUAAUGUGUAGUUUUUGCUAAAAUCAGAAUGAGUUACCGGUGAUUCUUCCAAACUUCGCUUCAAUACAAACAUACACACAGUGACAACAUUGACUACCGGUGUAGUUUUUGUAUGAUAUUUAACAUCUUUUCCAUUCAAUGUGAAACUCUUACUUAGA